rnacentral:rRNA from 1 species
AGUGCUUUUCGGAGAACCCUUGCACAGGUGCUGCAUGGCUGUCGUCAGCUCGUGUCGUGAGAUGUCGGGUUAAGUCCCUUUAACGAGCGAAACCCUUGUCCCUAGUUGCCAGCGGGUCAUGCCGGGGACUCUAGGGAGACUGCCGGUGUUAAACCGGAGGAAGGCGGGGAUGACGUCAAGUCCUCAUGGCCUUUAUGAUCAGGGCUGCACACGUCCUACAAUGCGAUGCACAAAGGGACGCAAGCUCGCGAGAGCAAGCAAAUCCCAAAAAACAUCGCUCAGUUCGGAUUGCAGGCUGCAACCCGCCUGCAUGAAGCUGGAAUCGCUAGUAAUCGCGGGUCAGCAUACCGCGGUGAAUGUGUUCCUGAGCCUU